GGUUAAGCGACUAAGCGUACACGGUGGAUGCCCUGGCAGUCAGAGGCGAUGAAGGACGUGCUAAUCUGCGAAAAGCGUCGGUAAGGUGAUAUGAACCGUUAUAACCGGCGAUGUCCGAAUGGGGAAACCCAGUGUGAUUCGUCACACUAUCGUUAACUGAAUACAUAGGUUAACGAGGCGAACCGGGGGAACUGAAACAUCUAAGUACCCCGAGGAAAAGAAAUCAACCGAGAUUCCCCCAGUAGCGGCGAGCGAACGGGGAGCAGCCCAGAGUCUGAAUCAGCUUGUGUGUUAGUGGAACGGUCUGGAAAGUCCGACGGUACAGGGUGAUAGUCCCGUACACCAAAAUGCACAGGCUGUGAACUCGAAGAGUAGGGCGGGACACGUGGUAUCCUGUCUGAAUAUGGGGGGACCAUCCUCCAAGGCUAAAUACUCCUGACUGACCGAUAGUGAACCAGUACCGUGAGGGAAAGGCGAAAAGAACCCCGGCGAGGGGAGUGAAAAAGAACCUGAAACCGUGUACGUACAAGCAGUGGGAGCACCUUCGGGUGUGACUGCGUACCUUUUGUAUAAUGGGUCAGCGACUUAUAUUCUGUAGCAAGGUUAACCGUAUAGGGGAGCCGCAGGGAAACCGAGUCUUAACUGGGCGUUAAGUUGCAGGGUAUAGACCCGAAACCCGGUGAUCUAGCCAUGGGCAGGUUGAAGGUUGGGUAACACUAACUGGAGGACCGAACCGACUAAUGUUGAAAAAUUAGCGGAUGACUUGUGGCUGGGGGUGAAAGGCCAAUCAAACCGGGAGAUAGCUGGUUCUCCCCGAAAGCUAUUUAGGUAGCGCCUCGUGAACUCAUCUUCGGGGGUAGAGCACUGUUUCGGCUAGGGGGUCAUCCCGACUUACCAACCCGAUGCAAACUACGAAUACCGAAGAAUGUUAUCACGGGAGACACACGGCGGGUGCUAACGUCCGUCGUGAAGAGGGAAACAACCCAGACCGCCAGCUAAGGUCCCAAAGUCAUGGUUAAGUGGGAAACGAUGUGGGAAGGCACAGACAGCCAGGAUGUUGGCUUAGAAGCAGCCAUCAUUUAAAGAAAGCGUAAUAGCUCACUGGUCGAGUCGGCCUGCGCGGAAGAUGUAACGGGGCUAAACCAUGCACCGAAGCUGCGGCAGCGACACUAUGUGUUGUUGGGUAGGGGAGCGUUCUGUAAGCCUGCGAAGGUGUGCUGUGAGGCAUGCUGGAGGUAUCAGAAGUGCGAAUGCUGACAUAAGUAACGAUAAAGCGGGUGAAAAGCCCGCUCGCCGGAAGACCAAGGGUUCCUGUCCAACGUUAAUCGGGGCAGGGUGAGUCGACCCCUAAGGCGAGGCCGAAAGGCGUAGUCGAUGGGAAACAGGUUAAUAUUCCUGUACUUGGUGUUACUGCGAAGGGGGGACGGAGAAGGCUAUGUUAGCCGGGCGACGGUUGUCCCGGUUUAAGCAUGUAGGCUGGUUAUCCAGGCAAAUCCGGAUAAUCAAGGCUGAGGUGUGAUGACGAGGCACUACGGUGCUGAAGUAACAAAUGCCCUGCUUCCAGGAAAAGCCUCUAAGCAUCAGGUAACAUCAAAUCGUACCCCAAACCGACACAGGUGGUCAGGUAGAGAAUACCAAGGCGCUUGAGAGAACUCGGGUGAAGGAACUAGGGAAGGUGCGAACAAGUUCCUGAUAUGAGAUCAUCAUAUUCAUCCGGAGCGCAUCCCAGAGGGACAUCAUGAGCCAUCAACUCACCUUCGCCGAUAGUGAAUUCAGCACUAAGCGCCGUCAGACCCGAAAAGAGAUUUUCCUCUCCCGCAUGGAGCAGAUUCUGCCAUGGCAAAACAUGGUGGAAGUCAUCGAGCCGUUUUAUCCCAAGGCGGGCAAUGGCCGACGGCCCUAUCCGCUGGAGACCAUGCUGCGUAUUCACUGCAUGCAGCAUUGGUACAACCUGAGCGACGGUGCCAUGGAAGAUGCCCUGUACGAAAUCGCCUCCAUGCGCCUGUUUGCCCGAUUAUCCCUGGAUAGCGCCCUGCCGGAUCGCACCACCAUCAUGAAUUUCCGCCACCUGCUCGAGCAGCAUCAACUGGCCCGUCAAUUGUUCAAGACCAUCAAUCGCUGGCUGGCCGAAGCAGGCGUCAUGAUGACCCAAGGCACUUUGGUGGAUGCCACCAUCAUUGAGGCACCCAGCUCUACCAAGAACAAAGAGCAGCAACGCGAUCCGGAGAUGCAUCAGACCAAGAAAGGCAAUCAGUGGCACUUUGGCAUGAAGGCCCACAUUGGUGUCGAUGCCAAGAGUGGCCUGACCCACAGCCUAGUCACCACCGCGGCCAACGAGCAUGACCUCAAUCAGCUGGGUAAUCUGCUUCAUGGAGAGGAGCAAUUUGUCUCAGCCGAUGCCGGCUACCAAGGAGCGCCACAGCGCGAGGAGCUGGCCGAGGUGGAUGUGGACUGGCUGAUCGCCGAGCGUCCCGGCAAGGUAAAAACCUUGAAGCAGCAUCCGCGCAAGAACAAAACGGCCAUCAACAUCGAAUACAUGAAAGCCAGCAUCCGUGCCAGGGUGGAGCACCCGUUUCGCAUCAUCAAGCGGCAGUUCGGCUUCGUGAAAGCCAGAUACAAAGGGCUGCUGAAAAACGAUAACCAACUGGCGAUGUUAUUCACCCUGGCCAACCUGUUUCGGGUGGACCAAAUGAUACGUCAGUGGGAGAGAUCUCAGUAAAAACCGGAAAUAACGCCAGAAAUGGUGGAAAAAAUAGCCUAAAUAGGCUGAUUCGAUGUGUUUGCGGGAAAAAAAUCGGCCCAGAUCCGCGAAAUUUUAAUCAGCGAGUCAGCUUGGGAAGAAAUGACCUGCUUAUUCGCACCUUCCCUAGGCAAAAUGGUGCCGUAACUUCGGGAGAAGGCACGCUGGUGUGUAGGUGAAGUCCCUGCGGAUGGAGCUGAGACCAGUCGAAGAUACCAGCUGGCUGCAACUGUUUAUUAAAAACACAGCACUGUGCAAACACGAAAGUGGACGUAUACGGUGUGACGCCUGCCCGGUGCCGGAAGGUUAAUUGAUGGGGUUAUCCGUAAGGAGAAGCUCUUGAUCGAAGCCCCGGUAAACGGCGGCCGUAACUAUAACGGUCCUAAGGUAGCGAAAUUCCUUGUCGGGUAAGUUCCGACCUGCACGAAUGGCGUAAUGAUGGCCAGGCUGUCUCCACCCGAGACUCAGUGAAAUUGAACUCGCUGUGAAGAUGCAGUGUACCCGCGGCAAGACGGAAAGACCCCGUGAACCUUUACUAUAGCUUGACACUGAACAUUGAGCCUUGAUGUGUAGGAUAGGUGGGAGGCUUUGAAGCGUGGACGCCAGUCUGCGUGGAGCCAACCUUGAAAUACCACCCUUUAAUGUUUGAUGUUCUAACGUUGGCCCCUGACCGGGGUUGCGGACAGUGUCUGGUGGGUAGUUUGACUGGGGCGGUCUCCUCCCAAAGCGUAACGGAGGAGCACGAAGGUUAGCUAAUCCUGGUCGGACAUCAGGAGGUUAGUGCAAUGGCAUAAGCUAGCUUGACUGCGAGCGUGACGGCGCGAGCAGGUGCGAAAGCAGGUCAUAGUGAUCCGGUGGUUCUGAAUGGAAGGGCCAUCGCUCAACGGAUAAAAGGUACUCCGGGGAUAACAGGCUGAUACCGCCCAAGAGUUCAUAUCGACGGCGGUGUUUGGCACCUCGAUGUCGGCUCAUCACAUCCUGGGGCUGAAGUAGGUCCCAAGGGUAUGGCUGUUCGCCAUUUAAAGUGGUACGCGAGCUGGGUUUAGAACGUCGUGAGACAGUUCGGUCCCUAUCUGCCGUGGGCGCUGGAGAAUUGAGGGGGGCUGCUCCUAGUACGAGAGGACCGGAGUGGACGCAUCACUGGUGUUCGGGUUGUCAUGCCAAUGGCACUGCCCGGUAGCUAAAUGCGGAAGAGAUAAGUGCUGAAAGCAUCUAAGCACGAAACUUGCCCCGAGAUGAGUUCUCCCUGAGACUUUAAGUCUCCUGAAGGAACGUUGAAGACGACGACGUUGAUAGGCCGGGUGUGUAAGCGCAGCGAUGCGUUGAGCUAACCGGUACUAAUGAACCGUGAGGCUUAACCUU
rnacentral:rRNA from 1 species